UCUUGUGAAAAUGCCCAACAGAUGUCGCCACUAACGAACGUCUCUUUUCAGCGUUGGAAAUAAAAUUGUCUGCGAUGAAAGGGGCAAAGAAACAAGUACGAUCAUGUUGGAGUUGAUACGACGAUAGUAGCCUAGGGACUAGGAGGGGAUUACAUAUAAUGAUAUAUUAUUGACAUUGUUAUAAUAUAAAUAGACGAGCUCCUUGUAGUGGGAGCGAAAAGAAGCCACAGGCUGCAGGACAAAACGCUGUAAAGUACCACGUACAAACCCAAGUUAGGAAGAGAAUUUCGUCAUGUUAUCAGGGAACCCGAUAAUUGUCAACAUGUCUGUCGAAACAAAAAAUGACGGGAAAGCUUGGACAUGGAUAACAGACAGUCGGGUCGGUGGAGAUAGCUCCGAGUCUGCUCAAUCUAUUCGACGCGCUCGUCUCGAAUGAUCGCGCGAACGUCAAGCUGCGCACCGCCAUGGCAGAGACGACAUCAUCAUCGUCUCGCGACCAUCCGGAACUCGCGGCGAGGGACGACGACGACGCGCUGCACCGGCGAGACGG